AAACGCUUGAAGUCAGUCGCAUCCUUCAGAAAUCAACCUGGCCGUCAGGUCUGGUGCACUUUCUGUUUGGAUGGGUCAGCAUCAAUUUUGAUCGUUGGAUAAAGGCUUGGGGAAUGUGGCAUCUUCGGAUGUGUUAUAGCCUUGGGUCACAUACAUCGGCUGGGACUGAGGAACUCAGCGCGCCGCAAGGACGGGUUUCGACCACGUUCGCGCUUAGGAUGCUGGCAUAAUGGCUUUAAUCGA
rnacentral:rRNA from 1 species